rnacentral:sRNA from 1 species
UGAGGACAGGCUGGCCUGCUUGCAGGUUUGGAAAGCCUGCAGCCAGGCCAGGCUCAGGGCUGAGCAUCCACUGAGUCUGGCUGGAAAGUCGGCAACCUGGUUCCUCUUGGUUCUCUCUUACAGCGAGUCCCUGUGGCCCAUCGAGGCCAGAAACGCAGCCAUUGCCAAUCACUGCUUUACCUGCGCCAUCAAUCGUGUGGGCACCGAGCACUUCCCGAACGAGUUUACCUCGGGAGAUGGAAAGAAAGCUCACCAGGACUUUGGCUACUUUUAUGGCUCAAGCUAUGUGGCAGCCCCUGAUGGCAGCCGGACUCCUGGGCUGUCCCGUAG